AUUGAACGCUGGCGGCAGGCCUAACACAUGCAAGUCGAACGAGUGGCGGACGGGUGAGUAAUGGCUGGGAAACUGCCCGAUGGAGGGGGAUAACUACUGGAAACGGUAGCUAAUACCGCAUACCAUCGGAUGUGCCCAGAUGGGAUUAGCUAGUAGGUGGGGUAACGGCUCACCUAGGCGACGCUCCCUAGCGGGUCUGAGAGGAUGACCAGCCCCACUGGAACUUGGACCCGGUCCAGACUCCUACGGGAGGCAGCAGUGGGGCAUAGUGCCCAAUGGGCGCAAGCCUGAUGCAGCCAUGCCGCGUGUAUGAAGAAGGCCUUCGGGUUGUAAAGUACUUUCAGCGGGGAGGCGUUACCCGCAGAAGAAGCACCGGCUAACUCCGUGCCAGCAGCCGCGGUAAUAC
rnacentral:rRNA from 1 species